rnacentral:rRNA from 1 species
CGGGGGGAGCAAGCGUUGUUCGGAUUUACUGGGCGUAAAGGGCGCGUAGGCGGUCAGCACAAGUCAGUUGUGAAAUCUCCGAGCUUAACUCGGAAAGGUCAACUGAUACUGUGCGACUAGAGUGCAGAAGGGGCAACUGGAAUUCUCGGUGUAGCGGUGAAAUGCGUAGAUAUCGAGAGGAACACCUGCGGCGGAGGCGGGUUGCUGGGCUGACACUGACGCUGAGGCGCGAAAGCUAGGGGAGCGAACGGGAUUAGAUACCCCGGUAGUCCUAGCCUUAAACGAUGAAUGCUUGGUGUCUGGGGUUAUAUAGUCCCCGGGUGCCGUCGCUAACGCUUUAAGCAUUCCGCCUGGGGAGUACGGUCGCAAGACUG